UGCCAGCCGCCGCGGUAAUACGAAGGGACCUAUCGUAGUUCGGAAUUACUGGGCUUAAAGAGCUCGUAGGUGGUUAAAAAAGUUGAUGGUGAAAUCCCAGGGCUCAACCUUGGAACUGCCAUCAAAACUUUUUAGCUAGAGUGUGAUAGAGGUAAGUGGAAUUUCUAGUGUAGAGGUGAAAUUCGUAGAUAUUCGGAGGAACACCAAUUGCGAAGGCAGUUCACUGGACCGUGAUCGACGCUGAGGAGCGAAAGCUAGGGGAGCAAACAGGAUUAGAUA
rnacentral:rRNA from 1 species